rnacentral:rRNA from 1 species
GAUGAACGCUGGCGGCGUGCCUAAUACAUGCAAGUCGAGCGAACAGAUAAGGAGCUUGCUCCUUUGACGUUAGCGGCGGACGGGUGAGUAACACGUGGGUAACCUACCUAUAAGACUGGAAUAACUCCGGGAAACCGGGGCUAAUGCCGGAUAACAUUUAGAACCGCAUGGUUCUAAAGUGAAAGAUGGUUUUGCUAUCACUUAUAGAUGGACCCGCGCCGUAUCAGCUAGUUGGUAAGGUAACGGCUUACCAAGGCAACGAUACGUAGCCGACCUGAGAGGGUGAUCGGCCACACUGGAACUGAGACACGGUCCAGACUCCUACGGGAGGCAGCAGUAGGGAAUCUUCCGCAAUGGGCGAAAGCCUGACGGAGCAACGCCGCGUGAGUGAUGAAGGUCUUCGGAUCGUAAAACUCUGUUAUUAGGGAAGAACAAAUGUGUAAGUAACUGUGCACGUCUUGACGGUACCUAAUCAGAAAGCCACGGCUAACUACGUG